rnacentral:lncRNA from 1 species
GAUCAAACAAACCUUUCAUAAGUUUUAGAACAAAAAAUAGAAAUUUACUUAUAAAGCCAAACAGAAGAAAUAUAUAAAUUACAAAAUUAUUUUUAAAUAGAUCAAAUAUUAUAUUUAUUUCUUAAAACUGCAUUAGUUUUAUAUUUUUAAAAAUUAAACUUUUUUACCUUAAAAAUAAGACAACCGUUCAAUAUACGAUGGACAACGUCCAUUCAAAGAUUUGACGUCUAUCAAAUACUGCAACACCAACAGGAGUGGAUGAUGAAUGAAGUGGCUGAGGUUGAUGGGGGCAACAGUGCUGGUUCAGUGGCCUGAAGCAAUGCCGGACAUGCAGCCCUCGAGGACAUUGAUUAGUCAGUGGCGCUUCAGCUUCUUGGGCCAUUGUUUGGGUCUGUUAUUUUGUUUCAAUCCCUUUCAGUCUGUUAACUUUAGUUCCUGGCUUGUAUUACUGUUUAAUUUAUUAGAAUUCUGGUUUGUAAUAUUCUGGAUAUUGGGCCCGUAGGGGGUUUUGUUUUCAACCCUUUCCUUAUUUCAAUGAAUAUUUUGCUUAUCAAAAAAAACUCCUAGAACAAAAUUGUGAUGAGCUAAAGAAACAUAAACCCACAUACAAAAAAUCCAAACGGAAUGGAUAAAAGCCAAUGAAUGCAAGUGGGCCCCUGACAUCCAAAUAAUUGUUUAGCAGGAGUACCAGUUUGGAAUUGUGUUGCUAAUUUGUUAUGUGAAUCCAGUCGGAAGUAAUUCUUUUAUUUCAGAAAAGAAAAUCGGUCUUCUUCCAAGAACCCUGAAAAAAAAAAGGAAACAAGAAGAAUAUAAGUCGAUAUAUAUAAUAGAUUAUAUAUAUUAUAAUAAAAAAUAUAUCCAAUAAUUAAUUAUUAAUAAAAUCACGUGUAUAUGUAUCAAAAUAUUCACACAAUUAUGAUAACUCAUAAUUGAGACAAUUAAACUCUUAAUUAAGGCACAGUUAAUAAAAUAUUAACGUUCUCAAUUAAGACAUAAUUAACGCCUUCAAAUAAGGCACAAUUUACGCCCUCAAUUAUGAGGCACAAUAAACGCCCUCAACUAUGAGGCCAAUUAGUAGGCACAAUUAACGCCCUCAGCACGAUUAACGCCAUCCUUCUAUACUGAUCCCGGAACUGUCGUCGCCGCAACCCUCGGCCACCACCGCUACGCUGUCUCUCCCGCACACGAUCGUGAAGAGGACGAUGACCACCUAAAAUAUAUCCGUCGGUAGAAGUAACAUACACCAAACCAACAAACCUCGGAGCCUCAAACGAAGACCUCAAAAAACUCGAAUCACAGUAAAGAGACAAACCACCUUGCCGGAAAAUAUGGUCUCGCCGGAGAAUGAAGGAAGGAGCUGGCUGGAAAAUACAGAACUCUGUGUGUAUGAAUGUGUAGUGGUGGUGGGGAGAUGAUGAUUGGGAAUAAAAAUGAUUAUAUAACAUGAGUUUGUCGUUAUGGUAUUUGUAAGCUGCUAGAGAGAAAGAGAGAAGAGACUCAAAUGGUAUAUAGAUUUUUGUACUCCAACUUUGAUCGAAAGCAAAUAUAAUCAGAAGUAAUUGGUUUAUCUGUUCAUUUAAAAUAUAUUAAAAUUUUAUAAUACAUUGGAAAUUUUUAAUUAAACCAAAGUAUUAUCGGAAAUUUAAUAAAAUAAUUUUAAAAGAUCAAUUCAAAAAUUUUAAAUAAAUCAAAAAAAUUGAGAACAUUAACAUCGGAGUUGAGUCGACGAAUCAGACCAUAAACAAACAGACACAUGCACCAAUGCCGCCUAAACUGAACCUCCCUCUUGUCUGAAUCAAACUGCCCGUAAAUCAUUGUCUGAAGAUAUAUCAAGCAUUGAACAAACAACAAUAAGCAAGAAAAUGGUGCUCUCGUCUCGAAUAUUAGCUCUUUCCUACCACCCUGCUUCGCCACAACUUUUUAUAUAUAAUAAUAAUAUUAAUUCUGCCUUGUUGACCUUCAGACCAAACCUCAAAACCAACCUCAAAUGUCGAUCCAUGCCGUCCGAUUAUGAUUCUUCUUCUUCUUCUCCGCUUGAUUCCGAUUCACCUGAAACAAAUGUUUCUGGGUAUGCCAAUUCUUUUACUCCUCUGCAUAUGCAUCAUCACUUACAUAUUUUACAUACAGCUUCUGUUAAUUGUUAUAUAUGAUUUUUAUUUAAGUUGGUUUUUGUUUAUCACUUAUUUCUGCUUGUACAGAUAAUCAUAAACAUAAUUUGAGACAGGGUUUGAUUUGUAGUUACCACUUACUUGAUCUUUCUGGCAAUCAGAAAUUGCUGCCUUGGGCUUAGAGUAUGAUAUGAUAUCCAACUUCAUCAGAGUGCUUAGUAGUGUACUGUGUUUUGCAAGUCGAAAAAAGAAAUUCUCGGAUUUAUGGCGAUUAGUUUUCAAAAUCCCUGCUGCUUUAUGAUCAUCUUUCAGUGUUUGGAAAAAAAAAAAAUUUGAUUCAAUUUACAUUAGAUCUCGACAUGAUAAAUUCUGAUUGUUAUUAUACAGUUUCUUGAAUUGUUAUGAUAGAUUUUUUGUCAUUGUGAA